UGCAAGUCGAACGAGAUCCAACCGGUAGCAAUACUGGUGAAGAUCUAGUGGCGAACGGGUGAGUAACACGUGAGCAACCUACCCCGAAGACUGGGACAACACCGGGAAACCGGUGCUAAUACCGGAUACCCCCACCGGACCGCAUGGUCUGAUGAGGAAAUGGAUUCCGCUUCGGGAGGGGCUCGCGGCCUAUCAGCUAGUUGGUGAGGUAACGGCUCACCAAGGCAUCGACGGGUAGCUGGUCUGAGAGGACGAUCAGCCACACUGGGACUGAGACACGGCCCAGACUCCUACGGGAGGCAGCAGUGGGGAACCUUGCACAAUGGGCGAAAGCCUGAUGCAGCAACGCCGCGUGAGGGACGAAGGCUUUCUGAGUUGUAAACCUCUUUCAGCAGGGACGGUUAUGACGGUACCUGCAGAAGAAGCACCGGCCAACUACGUGCCAGCAGCCGCGGUAAUACGUAGGGUGCAAGCGUUGUCCGGAUUUAUUGGGCGUAAAGAGCUCGUAGGCGGUUUGGCAAGUCGGAUGUGAAACCUCCAGGCUCAACCUGGAGUCGCCAUUCGAUACUGCCAUGACUAG
rnacentral:rRNA from 1 species